rnacentral:rRNA from 1 species
GACGAACGCUGGCGGCGUGCCUAAGACAUGCAAGUCGAACGGUCCAAGCAAUUGGACAGUGGCGAACGGCGGAGUAAUACAUGAGCAACGUACCCCAAAGACUGGGAUAGUCACUGGAAACGGUGGGUAAUACCAGAUGUGACGGAUAGUCGGCAUCGGCGGUCCAUCAAAUGGUUUUUCGCUUUGGGAGCGGCUCAUGGCCUAUCAGGUAGUUGGUGAGGUAAUGGCUCACCAAGCCGACGACGGGUAGCGGGUCUGAGAGGAUGAUCCGCUCGAGUGGGACUGAGACACGGCCCACACACCUACGGGUGGCAGCAGUUGGGAAUCUUGCACAAUGGGGGAAACCCUGAUGCAGCGACGCCGCGUGGAGGACGAAGGGUCUAGGCCUGUAAACUCCUUUUAUCGGGAAAGACUUAGGACGGUACCCGAUGAAUAAGCACCGGCUAACUACGUGCCAGCAGCCGCGGUAAGACGUAGGGUGCAAGCGUUGUCCGGAUUUACUGGGCGUAAAGAGCGCGUAGGCGGUCUGUUAAGUGUAGAGUGAACUCUCCAGGGCUCAACCCGGAAACUGCUCUGCAUACUGGCA